rnacentral:rRNA from 1 species
AGAAUCAACGCUGGCGGCGUGCCUAACACAUGCAAGUCGAACGAGAAAGUGGAGCAAUCCAUGAGUAAAGUGGCGCACGGGUGAGUAACACGUGACUAACCUACCCUUGAGUGGGGGAUAACCUCGGGAAACCGGGGCUAAUACCGCAUAACAUCGAGAGAUCAAAGGAGCAAUUCGCUUAAGGAGGGGGUCGCGGCUGAUUAGCUAGUUGGUGAGGUAAUGGCUCACCAAGGCUAUGAUCAGUAUCCGGCCUGAGAGGGCGCACGGACACACUGGAACUGAAACACGGUCCAGACUCCUACGGGAGGCAGCAGUGGGGGAAUUUUUGCGCAAUGGGGGAAACCCUGACGCAGCAACGCCGCGUGGAGGAUGAAGUCCCUUGGGACGUAAACUCCUUUCGAUCGGGACGAUAAUGACGGUACCGGAAGAAGAAGCCCGGCUAACUUCGCGCCAGCAGCCGC